UUAAGUUAUUAAGGGCGCACGGUGGAUGCCUUGGCACUAGAAGCCGAUGAAGGACGUUACUAACGACGAUAUGCUUUGGGGAGCUGUAAGUAAGCUUUGAUCCAGAGAUUUCCGAAUGGGGAAACCCAGCAUGAGUUAUGUCAUGUUAUCGAUAUGUGAAUACAUAGCAUAUCAGAAGGCACACCCGGAGAACUGAAACAUCUUAGUACCCGGAGGAAGAGAAAGAAAAUUCGAUUCCCUUAGUAGCGGCGAGCGAAACGGGAAGAGCCCAAACCAACAAGCUUGCUUGUUGGGGUUGUAGGACACUCUAUACGGAGUUACAAAGGACGACAUUAGACGAAUCAUCUGGAAAGAUGAAUCAAAGAAGGUAAUAAUCCUGUAGUCGAAAAUGUUGUCUCUCUUGAGUGGAUCCUGAGUACGACGGAGCACGUGAAAUUCCGUCGGAAUCUGGGAGGACCAUCUCCUAAGGCUAAAUACUCUCUAGUGACCGAUAGUGAACCAGUACCGUGAGGGAAAGGUGAAAAGCACCCCGGAAGGGGAGUGAAAUAGAACCUGAAACCGUGUGCUUACAAGUAGUCAGAGCCCGUUAAUGGGUGAUGGCGUGCCUUUUGUAGAAUGAACCGGCGAGUUACGAUUUGAUGCAAGGUUAAGCAGUAAAUGUGGAGCCGUAGCGAAAGCGAGUCUGAAUAGGGCGUUUAGUAUUUGGUCGUAGACCCGAAACCAGGUGAUCUACCCUUGGUCAGGUUGAAGUUCAGGUAACACUGAAUGGAGGACCGAACCGACUUACGUUGAAAAGUGAGCGGAUGAACUGAGGGUAGCGGAGAAAUUCCAAUCGAACCUGGAGAUAGCUGGUUCUCUCCGAAAUAGCUUUAGGGCUAGCCUCAAGUGAUGAUUAUUGGAGGUAGAGCACUGUUUGGACGAGGGGCCCCUCUCGGGUUACCGAAUUCAGACAAACUCCGAAUGCCAAUUAAUUUAACUUGGGAGUCAGAACAUGGGUGAUAAGGUCCGUGUUCGAAAGGGAAACAGCCCAGACCACCAGCUAAGGUCCCAAAAUAUAUGUUAAGUGGAAAAGGAUGUGGCGUUGCCCAGACAACUAGGAUGUUGGCUUAGAAGCAGCCAUCAUUUAAAGAGUGCGUAAUAGCUCACUAGUCGAGUGACACUGCGCCGAAAAUGUACCGGGGCUAAACAUAUUACCGAAGCUGUGGAUUGUCCUUUGGACAAUGGUAGGAGAGCGUUCUAAGGGCGUUGAAGCAUGAUCGUAAGGACAUGUGGAGCGCUUAGAAGUGAGAAUGCCGGUGUGAGUAGCGAAAGACGGGUGAGAAUCCCGUCCACCGAUUGACUAAGGUUUCCAGAGGAAGGCUCGUCCGCUCUGGGUUAGUCGGGUCCUAAGCUGAGGCCGACAGGCGUAGGCGAUGGAUAACAGGUUGAUAUUCCUGUACCACCUAUAAUCGUUUUAAUCGAUGGGGGGGACGCAGUAGGAUAGGCGAAGCGUGCGAUUGGAUUGCACGUCUAAGCAGUAAGGCUGAGUAUUAGGCAAAUCCGGUACUCAUUAAGGCUGAGCUGUGAUGGGGAGAAGACAUUGUGUCUUCGAGUCGUUGAUUUCACACUGCCGAGAAAAGCCUCUAGAUAGAAAAUAGGUGCCCGUACCGCAAACCGACACAGGUAGUCAAGAUGAGAAUUCUAAGGUGAGCGAGCGAACUCUCGUUAAGGAACUCGGCAAAAUGACCCCGUAACUUCGGGAGAAGGGGUGCUCUUUAGGGUUAACGCCCAGAAGAGCCGCAGUGAAUAGGCCCAAGCGACUGUUUAUCAAAAACACAGGUCUCUGCUAAACCGUAAGGUGAUGUAUAGGGGCUGACGCCUGCCCGGUGCUGGAAGGUUAAGAGGAGUGGUUAGCUUCUGCGAAGCUACGAAUCGAAGCCCCAGUAAACGGCGGCCGUAACUAUAACGGUCCUAAGGUAGCGAAAUUCCUUGUCGGGUAAGUUCCGACCCGCACGAAAGGCGUAACGAUUUGGGCACUGUCUCAACGAGAGACUCGGUGAAAUCAUAGUACCUGUGAAGAUGCAGGUUACCCGCGACAGGACGGAAAGACCCCGUGGAGCUUUACUGUAGCCUGAUAUUGAAAUUCGGCACAGCUUGUACAGGAUAGGUAGGAGCCUUUGAAACGUGAGCGCUAGCUUACGUGGAGGCGCUGGUGGGAUACUACCCUAGCUGUGUUGGCUUUCUAACCCGCACCACUUAUCGUGGUGGGAGACAGUGUCAGGCGGGCAGUUUGACUGGGGCGGUCGCCUCCUAAAAGGUAACGGAGGCGCUCAAAGGUUCCCUCAGAAUGGUUGGAAAUCAUUCAUAGAGUGUAAAGGCAUAAGGGAGCUUGACUGCGAGACCUACAAGUCGAGCAGGGU
rnacentral:rRNA from 1 species